rnacentral:rRNA from 1 species
GAUUAGAGUUUGAUCCUGGCUCAGAUUGAACGCUGGCGGCAUGCCUUACACAUGCAAGUCGAACGGCAGCACGGGAGCAAUCCUGGUGGCGAGUGGCGAACGGGUGAGUAAUAUAUCGGAACGUACCUUUCAGUGGGGGAUAACGUAGCGAAAGUUACGCUAAUACCGCAUAUUCUGUGAGCAGGAAAGCAGGGGAUCGCAAGACCUUGCGCUGAUUGAGCGGCCGAUAUCAGAUUAGCUAGUUGGUGAGGUAAAGGCUCACCAAGGCGACGAUCUGUAGCGGGUCUGAGAGGAUGAUCCGCCACACUGGAACUGAGACACGGUCCAGACUCCUACGGGAGGCAGCAGUGGGGAAUUUUGGACAAUGGGGGCAACCCUGAUCCAGCCAUGCCGCGUGAGUGAAGAAGGCCUUCGGGUUGUAAAGCUCUUUCAGCCGGGAAGAAAACGCAUGGGUUAAUACCCUGUGUGGAUGACGGUAC